GAUGAACGCGGCGGCGUGCCUAAUACAUGCAAGUCGAGCGAGAAGCUUGGAAAUGACGCUUCGGUUGAUUUUUCAAGCGGACAGCGGCGGACGGGUGAGUAACGCGUAGGCAACCUGCCCCUGACAGAGGGAUAGCCAUUGGAAACGAUGAUUAAAACCUCAUGACACCGUAGUAGCACAUGCUACAUCGGUCAAAGAUUUAUCGGUCAGGGAUGGGCCUGCGUCUGAUUAACUGGUUGGUGAGGUAACGGCUCACCAAGGUGACGAUCAGUAGCCGACCUGAGAGGGUGAUCGGCCACAUUGGAACUGAGACACGGUCCAAACUUCUACGGAAGGCAGCAGUAGGGAAUCUUGCACAAUGGGCGAAAGCCUGAUGCAGCAACGCCGCGUGAAGGAUGAAGGCCUUCGGGUUGUAAACUUCUGUUCUAAAGGGAAAGAAAAGAAAAUGAACGGUACCUUAAGG
rnacentral:rRNA from 1 species